rnacentral:rRNA from 1 species
ACUGCUCAGUAACACGUGGACAACCUACCCUUAGGCCUGGGAUAAACCUGGGAAACUGGGUAUAAUACCGGAUAGGUCUCGAAUGCUGGAAUGCAUCGAGGCCCAAAGCUCCGGCGCCUAAGGAUGGGUCUGCGGCCUAUCAGGGUAGUAGUGGGUGUAAUGUACCUACUAGCCUACGACGGGUACGGGUCGUGAGAGCGAGAGCCCGGAGAUGGAUUCUGAGACACGAAUCCAGGCCCUACGGGGUGCAGCAGGCGCGAAAACUUUACAAUGCUGGAAACAGCGAUAGGGGGACUUUGAGUGCCAGGAUACAAUUCUGGCUGUCGUCGUGCCUAAAAAGCACGGCAUAGCAAGGGCCGGGCAAGACCGGUGCCAGCCGCCGCGGUAACACCGGCGGCUCGAGUGGUAACCGCUAUUAUUGGGUCUAAAGGGUCUGUAGCCGGCUGGAUAAGUCUCUUGGGAAAUCCGGUAGCUUAACUAUCGGGCUUUCAGGAGAUACUGUCCGGCUCGAGACCGGGAGAGGUGAGAGGUACUUCAUGGGUAGGGGUGAAAUCUUGUAAUCCUUGAAGGACCACCAGUGGCGAAGGCGUCUCACCAGAACGGAUCUGACGGCAAGGGACGAAAGCUAGGGGCACGAACCGGAUUAGAUACCCGGGUAGUCCUAGCCGUAAACGAUACUCGCUAGGUGUCGGCCACGGUGCGACCGUGGUCGGUGCCGUAGGGAAGCCGUGAAGCGAGCCACCUGGGAAGUACGGCCGCAAGGCUGAAACUUAAAGGAAUUGGCGGGGGAGCA